UACGGAGGGGGCAAGCGUUGUUCGGAAUUACUGGGCGUAAAGGGCGCGCAGGCGGCUGCUCAAGUCAGGCGUGAAAGGCCUGGGCUCAACCCGGGAAUUGCGCUUGAGACUGGGCUGGCUUGAGUGCGGGAGAGGAUGGUGGAAUUCCCAGUGUAGAGGUGAAAUUCGUAGAUAUUGGGAAGAACACCGGUGGCGAAGGCGGCCAUCUGGACCGCAACUGACGCUGAGGCGCGAAAGCGGUGGGGAGCAAACAGG
rnacentral:rRNA from 1 species